GUGGCCACAUGACAUAGAAACACCAGUUCUCAUAUAAUCACUGAAAUUAAGCAAUGUUGAGCAUUGUCAGUACAUAGAUGAGUGACCACUUGAGAAUACCAGGUGCUGUA